rnacentral:rRNA from 1 species
UACGUAGGGUGCGAGCGUUGUCCGGAAUUAUUGGGCGUAAAGAGCUUGUAGGCGGUUUGUCGCGUCUGCCGUGAAAUUUCGAGGCUCAACCUCGAACUUGCGGUGGGUACGGGCAGACUAGAGUGUGGUAGGGGAGACUGGAAUUCCUGGUGUAGCGGUGAAAUGCGCAGAUAUCAGGAGGAACACCGAUGGCGAAGGCAGGUCUCUGGGCCACUACUGACGCUGAGAGACGAAAGCUAGGGGAGCAAAUGGG